CCAUCGUCGAACUGCAUGCAACCAUAGUCCACUGAACUUCUGCCUCAACCUAGAUAGUAAAGAAACUGAUGCCCCUGUGGUGGAGGAAGAUGGGAGAUCAAUCAUUACAGAAGUCUGGAUCUGACUGCUUCCUGGAGCAUAGUUGCUGUCAGGUUCCUCAGACAUUGAAUCGGCAAGAGUGAUGCCAUGAGAAGCAACUCUUGAGCUAAUUCUUUCUGCAAUAUAAGGAACUGCCGUCUGGUAUAAAAUGAAAAGAGCGCGCCUUGCAGGUGUUGGAGGAAGUCCAUGUGACCCUGCAACCUGAGUAAUGUCACAGUACUCCUCCCCAAGAGUUUGCUGCCCAGAACCUGUUGUUAAUACGUAAUAAAGCAUCUGCCCGAGAAGCUUUGUCUCACUCUGAUAAGCCACAGCGACUCUUGUACCGAAUAGGUGGCGAAAAGCGUCGCGGCAGGCAUCGUAAACAAAGGAGGCGUACUGGUCGUCCUUCUCGGCAGCUCUCAUUAUCUCCGGCUGAGCUGCCAGAGGGAAC
rnacentral:misc_RNA from 1 species